UGUGUAAAGUGAAGGUGGGAGUAACUGAGAAGGAUUCCAAGCCCACAAAGAGAGUGCUGCAGGAAGUAACGUGAAAUGCCAGAUCCAUGCACCCCCGGAAGCCAAGGAAGCCUCCCCCAUUUAUCUCUGAGGACGCGCUUGCUUCACGCCAGGGUUAAAGGUCUAGAGUCUCCUCUCCUGCCCGGUCCAAGCGGAGGCGAGCAUCCGGCUCUGUCAGCCUGCUACAGACACCACAGAGUUUGACAAAGCAGCUCUCAGAGGCUGCCCUGCACUCUGCUACAGGAAAGGAAGAGUGAAAAAAGCAGCCGGCCGAGGAUCCAGGACAAAGUGUCUCCUGAGUUUCAUGUGGUGUCUCGAGUCUCCAACCGGACCCCCGGACUUGUUGGGAAUCACCGCUAUGCUAAGAAUCUCUUCCUGUCUCUCCUUGGAAGUCAUGUGGUAAUUACCUGGGUCGGACACCAACCCUCAGUUUUUGUAUUCUGAGUGACUUUGACAAGCCAGGGUGCCAAGCACGCAUGGAAAGACUGGUCAGAGCUAGAGUGAAAAGAAUGAUGUUCAAAUCCAAAAUCUGUCACUUAGCUUUGAGUGAAUUUGAGCACCAACUGACUUACUAAAGCCUUGGAUUCUUUUGAAAAAAAAAUUCACUACCCUGCUACCUAAUGCUAAAAUGAAAGCAGUUUGAAAUCUUUGUGGCAUGGCUAAGUCUAGCACACUUUGGAGUCACCUGGCAGCUUUGUUAACACACAGAACCCGGGAAUGUCUGUUGUGCCCCCAGAAUGUCUGGCUGAGUCCAUCAAUGUGCACCUAGGAAUGUGCAUUUCUGAUUAGCUGCCAGAUGAUGCUGAUAGUACUGGAGCUGGGGCCACACUUCAAGGGUGACUAUUCUAAAGAACAAUCCACCCUGUAUAAGUCAAUAACGUGACCAUCAUCCUAGGUGCCUUCGUAGUGAUAGAUAGUAUACUGAAGAAUCAAGUCUUAUAAGACAAAAUACAAUCCAUUACAUAAGGCUGCUGCAAGCCUAAAUACUGCAUGUCACCUCAGAAAAUCAAAAUGCAGAAAUUCUAGUCUUGAAGCUAUUGUUUGGGCAAAAUUCAAAAAUUUAAUUUAAAACCUACAAAGACUCUGAAAAUGUACUAGUGUAUAAGACAAAUGUAUUUUCAAGAACAAUGGAAAAUCUGACGACAUUAAAGAUACAUUUUGCCUCGCA